AAGUAAGUAUGGGGUUAAUGGAUCGUCGAGUAAUGGGCGUUUGGGUGUGGUUAGUAGUGAGAUGGAUGGUGGAAGUAACGGGAGCUUGACGAAGUACGCUAACGGGAAUGGAAGUGCUUCUGCAGCUGAGCAAGCGGCUGAGGCUGUGGAAGAUGGGAGGAAGAAGCGGAUAGAGGAGGUUGGGAAAGAAGAUGCCUGGUUUAAGCGAGCUGGCAACGGGCAGGUUGAGGUACUGUUAUAUUUACAUGAUGGAUUGGUUGUUCAUUAACUCGUUACCAUUGUCCCUGGGAUGAGGUACUGAUGUAUUUCCUACCAUGUCCAUUCAAUUAUUCAUUUGCUGGUAUAACGCGGACUUCUCCAAUUGCUUCUCUCGUUCGAUUGAGUUGGUCUGGGGGUGCCUGUGAAAUAAUCCUUGUUAGUACUGCAUGCAUAAUGGCAUCUUUUAUUGGAUGUUAUCCUAGCGAUCGUAGCCUCAAGAGGGUUCAUUACCACUGCAGGUUUCUGUUGUACCUGGGG
rnacentral:lncRNA from 1 species